GGUAAAGUGGCUGAGUGUUUAGGCGGUAAGCUGUAGUCUUAUUUACGGGGUUUGAUUCCCCCUUUACCA
rnacentral:tRNA from 1 species